AUUCCAUGAUGAAGGCACUUUUGUAUAACUCUUUGUACCUUUCCCAUGCCUCAUACAAGGACUCAUCAUCCAUUUGUUAGAAGGUAGUUAUCUCAUUCCUCAACUU
rfam:Gossypium raimondii chromosome 5, whole genome shotgun sequence.